UAAAAUUCCAUUUCGAAUACAAAAUUCGGUAAUAAAAAGUAAACGUUGAAAAGGGCAACAUCAGUUUUAUUAGUUUAACGUUUUCCAGCCGGUGCAAUUUCUGCGGUUGGCCCAAACACACGGAGGAAAGGUGCGUUGUUUAAAAUGUAUAAAUCGACGGAUCGGCUUCAUAAAUCAUCCGAAUGCGUGACAGGCGACGCUUUGUUGAGUAAUUUUGAAAUUCGAGCAAUAUGUUACGCAUACUCAGCAGCCAAAUUUAAUAUAGAAACUUGCAAGGGGAGAAAAGAUGUAAACGUAAGUCAACGAAAGGUGUAAUUUUGAAUUUAGAAAAGACAUUCAACACUCUUUGAUUAAAAAGGUAGUUCGUUUCAAUGGUAAUUGCAGUAUAAACAGAGCAACAUGGACGAUUGAAUUUAAUUAAGUGACCCUUGUCAUACGCAUAUACCUAAUUUAACAGAAACCUUUCGCUUGUGUUCUUUGUUAUAUGAAUAAUGAUCGCCCUUUAUUAAAAAAAACUCUUUGCGACGGUUUCAAUAUAAUCUUUAACUGAAAUCUUGUUUCAAUCGCUUCUCAAGACUGAAGCUUAUUGCAAACCUCAAACUCCAAAAUUUUAAAAUUUCGAAACUCAAACUCUUCAUUCUCAUAGUGUACGAUUCAAAAUUCUGACGGAAAAAGAUAUUUCU